rnacentral:rRNA from 1 species
UACGAAGGGGGCUAGCGUUGCUCGGAAUCACUGGGCGUAAAGGGUGCGUAGGCGGGUCUUUAAGUCAGGGGUGAAAUCCUGGAGCUCAACUCCAGAACUGCCUUUGAUACUGAAGAUCUUGAGUUCGGGAGAGGUGAGUGGAACUGCGAGUGUAGAGGUGAAAUUCGUAGAUAUUCGCAAGAACACCAGUGGCGAAGGCGGCUUUCUGGCCUGUUCUUGACGCUGAGGCGCGAAAGCUAGGGGAGCGAACGGG